AAAUCCUUUAAUACUGUCCUGUGAGGCAGGCAAGGAGAAUCGCAGUAAAUAAAUAAGCAGUCCUGUUUUUUGCUGUACUGUAAGUUGUGAAAUCUCCUUGUAUCAGGGAGAUUUUUUCUAUU
rfam:Streptococcus sp. TA 26, complete genome.